rnacentral:rRNA from 1 species
AUGAGGCCCAUCACCUCGCUGGUUGCAAACCCUCCCACCCGGGUUGCUGAGUUAAUUCAUGUCACCACGGCCACCUGGAGAGAGCAGCUCAUCCGUUCUGUCUUUGUAUCUUUUGAUGCAGAUGCAAUUCUAGCCAUCCAACUAUGCACGCGCAAUAUCGACGAUUUUUGGGCCUGGAGCGGGGAACGCCGGGGUACUUUCUCAGUCAAAUCAGCCUACCACAUGGUGCUGAACACCAAAUAUCAGAGGGAGAAUUGGAUAGAAGAAAAUGCUGGGAUCUCAGAGUUGGCUUCGGAAGGAAAAGCAUGGAAGUCGUUGUGGCAUACAAAGGUCCCAUCGAAGUAGAAAUUUUUUGCAUGGCGUUUAGCCCAGCAUUCAGUACCUACAGCCGACAUUUUGCACCACCGUCACAUGUCACAGUCUCCCGUAUGUGCUCUGUGUGGAACCCUGGACUCGUGGAGGCAUGCACUGUUGGACUGUACCAUGUCGAGGUGCAUUUGGGCACUAUCGGAUGAACACUCGGUGGAACAGAUCAGUUUGAACACCGAUGCAAAUGCCAGACACUGGUUCUUCGCGAUGCAUGAGGCACUGUCACAACCAGAGUUUGUAAGACUGAUCAUAACACUCUGGGCUGUUUGGAGAGCGAGGAGGAAGGCAAUAUAUGAAGAUAUUUUUACCAGCCCUAUGUCCACUCACCAAUUUAUCAAUGCUUAUUUGGGUGAUCUUCAUGACAUUGCAGCCCCAGUAAGGAAUGCUCCUGUCCAGCCUGUUGUGAGGCCAACACAAUGGCAAUGCAAAUCAAUGUUGACGCAACAACUAGAUGUACGCAGAGGAGGGGGGCGGUUGCUGCUCUUUGCCGGGACUAUGAUGGAAAUUUCUUGGGGGCAUCGGUGGUCAACUACGAAGGGAUUGGGGAUGCUGCAACACUAG